CAUAUGUAAGUAUGACAACCAAUUAAAUUUAUGAAGGUACAGCACGGAAAUUCCGAACAAGUAUUAUUAUUUUUUUCAAACAAUGUUUUUGUUUAGAAAAAUUUAAAGAAAUAUGCGUUUAGGUUGCGGGGAUCUAGUAAAUCUUACCAAUGGAAUUGAAACUCGGAAGUACAUAAAUUGAUGUUGGAUAUUCAGACUGCUCAUGAUAAGUUGGGUAGUCAAGACGAAAACAGUCGAACUAGUUUGAUUAGAAAAAUUAAAAAGUAAAUUGGGCAGUCGCUACUUUUUAAUGAACGUUGUAACAACGCAGCAGCUCUUUAGAUUGUGGCACUAAAAAUUUAACGGGUCUAAAGAGUAACGUAAAAAGAAGUUUUAAUACUUCUCGCCGAAUACGAAAGGGUUAUAAGUAAGGUUUAAACUAACUUAUGUUAAAUGCGGGUCUCUAAGGUACAGAACCAAUGUUCUGGCUGAUGAGGUAGUGAUUGUUAUGUCUUAAUGGAAGAUUGGACCUAGAAAAAGAAUCACUUCUGAAGAAUUAUUAAUAUAGUUUUGAUAUAAUUAUUAAUAAUUAUAUUAGACUAUAUUUAAAAAGGUCACAUUUUUAAAUAAAUGGACUGUAAACAUUUUAAAUUUAAGUUAUAAUGUUAAUUGUUAUAUUUAGGUGAUAAGAUAACAAUUAAGCUUAAGUAAAAAGAACUACCGUACCCUAAACCGACACAGGUUCGUAGGUAGAGAAUACUAAGGCGUAGAGCUAAAAGUUGUAAAGGAACUCGGCAAGUUGUCCUGCAUUGUGUUCUGGGAAACGAUGUCGAUUCAUCCUAUCCUCCGGGGGAAGAAGCUUGGAAGGGUUGGGCUGUUCGCCCAUUAAAAGGGUACGUGAAUUGGGUUUAUUUAA
rnacentral:rRNA from 1 species